rnacentral:rRNA from 1 species
UAAAACCCUCGCUUUGGACUGUACUGGCGCGGCCCUGCCGUAAAACCCCCAACUUAUGAAAAUU